rnacentral:snRNA from 1 species
GCAACAGAAUGUGCAGCAGUUGG